GUAAAGCUCUUUCGCCCGUGACGAUGAUGACGGUAACGGGAGAAGAAGCCCCGGCUAAUUCCGUGCCAGCAGCCGCGGUAAUACGGAAGGGGCUAGCGUUGUUCGGAUUUACUGGGCGUAAAGCGCAUGUAGGCGGCGGAUCAAGUGGGGCGUGAAAGGCCUGGGCUCAACCUGGGAACUGCGCUUCAGACUGGUUCGCUCGAGUUCGGGAGAGGGUGGUGGAAUUCCCAGUGUAGAGGUGAAAUUCGUAGAUAUUGGGAGGAACACCGGUGGCGAAGGCGGCCACCUGGCCCGAGACUGACGCUCAAGUGCGAAAGCGUGGGGAGCAAACAGGGUUAGAUACCCUGGUAGUCCACGCUGUAAACGAUGGGUGCUAGAUGUCGGGGGGCUUGCUCUUCGGUGUCGCAGCUAACGCGUUAAGCACCCCGCCUGGGGAGUACGGCCGCAAGGUUAAAACUCAAAUGAAUUGACGGAAUC
rnacentral:rRNA from 1 species